rnacentral:rRNA from 1 species
GAUGAACGCUGGCGGCGUGCCUAAUACAUGCAAGUCGAGCGAACAGAUGAGGAGCUUGCUCCUCUGACGUUACCGGCGGACGGGUGAUUAACACGUGGAUACCCUACCUAUAAGCCUGGGAUACCUUCGGGAAACCGGAGCUAAUACCGGAUACUCUUUUGAACCGCAUGGUUCAAUAGUGAAAGACGGAUUUGCUGUCACUUUUCGAUGGAUCCGCGCCGCAUUUGCUAGUUGGUAAGGUAACGGCUUACCAAGGCAACGAUGCGUAGCCGACCUGAGAGGGUGAUCGGCCACACUGGAACUGAGACACGGCCCAGACUCCUACGGGAGGCAGCAGUAGGGAAUCUUCCGCAAUGGGCGAAAGCCUGACGGAGCAACGCCGCGUGAGUGAUGAAGGUUUUCGGAUCGUAAAACUCUGUUAUUAGGGAAGAACAAGUACGUAAGUAACUAUGCACGUCUUGACGGUACCUAAUCAGAAAGCCACGGCUAACUACGUG